AUGUCAUACCUGUGGAUCCUGCUCUUAGGGAGCCUGCUCGCGGGCAGCGCCAAGGCACAAGAGGAGACGGCAGAUAUAGAUUCCCCUACUGACACUGCUGUAGAGGAAGAAGCUGUAGAAGAAGAAGCUCCUGCAGAAGAAGAAGAAGCUGUAGAAGAAGAAGCCACUUCAGAAGAAGACGCUACUGCAGAAGAAGAAGGUCCUGCAGAAGAAGAAGCCACUGCAGAAGAAGACGCUACUGCAGAAGAAGAAGCUCCUGCAGAAGAAGAAGCCACUGCAGAAGAAGAAGCCACUGCAGAAGAAGCUCCUGCAGAAGAAGCCACUGCAGAAGAAGCUCCUGCAGAAGAAGCUCCUGCAGAAGAGAAAGCUACUGAGGAAGAAGAAGCUACUGCAGAAGAAGAAGCCACUGCAGAAGAAGAAGCCACAGCAGAAGAAGAGGCUCCUGCAGUAGUAGCAGCUCCUGCAGAAGAAGAGGCUCCUGCUGAGGAAGAGGCUGCUGCUGAAGUCGAAGCUCCUGUAGAAGAAGAAGCUACUACAGAAGCAGCUCCUGCUGAGGAAAAGGAUACUGCAGUAGUAGCAGCUCCUGCAGAAGAGGAAGCCACUACAGAAGAGGCUACUGCAGAAGAAGAAGCUGUCACUGAAGUCGCAGUUAUUGCUGAAGAGGUGGCUCCUGCUGUAGAAGCAGCUGCACCUACUGAUGUCGAAGAAGAGGCUCCAACGCCUGUAGUGGAAGGGGAUACACCAUCUGAGGCAGCAGCUGACGGUGCCAAGCCGAGUGAAGGCGCGGAGGCAGUGGCAACCCCGGAGAAUGUUACGGAGGCUCCUGCCAUCAUCCCCGUAGCGGAAGCUCCCUCAGACGACCUGUUUGACUUGGCAGCUGCACUGGGACCGGUCGACCAGCCGUCACGCAAUGGGAAUAGUCGGAGUGGUGGCUCUGUUCGUCAGUACCUCCCCUCCUUAAUUUAUUACUGUUAUCAUGUUGUUAUACUAUUAACGUGUAUUCAACUCUGUCUCUCUCUUCAUCUCUACUUAUUAAGGUUCAAUAAUCUCUCUCUCUUUCUGUCUCUCGCAUGCAAUGUUAUAUGA
rnacentral:lncRNA from 1 species